UACGUAGGAAGCGAGCGUUGUCCGGAUUUACUGGGCGUAAAGGGCGUGUAGGUGGAGCGGCGCAUCCUGGAGUAAAUCUAUCGGCUCAACUGAUAGGCUUUCUAGGAGAUGGCCGCCCUUGAGGACAGCAGAGGAAAGUAGAAUUCCCGGUGUAGCGGUGAAAUGCGUAGAUAUCGGGAGGAAUACCAGUGGCGAAGGCGACUUUCUGGGCUGUUCCUGACGCUGAGGCGCGAAAGCCAGGGGGAGCAAACGGG
rnacentral:rRNA from 1 species